rnacentral:lncRNA from 1 species
GUGUUAUUAUUUUUCAAUAAGAGUCACUUAUUAUUAGAGCAGCUGGUAGCCCGAGCUUGCGUGAAGUGCCUGGCAAAGGACGCUACCAUAAAACACUGGUUUCUAAGUUUAUAGUUUCUAAUUUGGCUGUGAAAGUGUGAUUCUGGAUGGAACUUGGCACUCGAGGGCUCAGCUGGAGAGUAAACUUUUUAUAAUAAAAGCAUCGGUUUAUUGCAUUUGCUAUUUCACGUUAGAAGGGAAUUAACAAAGUUUUUACUAGUUUUGGAAGCUUAGGGAAGUCCCAUAAUUUUUCUUCAAAAUUAAAAGUUACGGUGUUGGUAAGGGUGGGAUAAGUUCUGCUGUGAGUGUGUGUGUGAUUUCAUGUGCCGUUAUUUUUAAGGCAAACCCGAUCCCUGCGCGUUAGGACAGCGGCACUGCUCUUGCAGCACCACCAGACGCAGGUCUCGCACAUCAGCCGCAGGCAGUUCCGAGCAGAGACCUUGGCGGUGAUGGGUCCUUACUACUUCCAGCCACCAGGAAAUGUUUAAAACGCAGCCUGUCCUGAUUAACUAUGACACGAGCUUUGCAGGGGUCAUGCAGCCUGGGAAAAGCGAUCAGAGCAGCAGACAAGGAUGUUUUUAGAACAAAACCAGGAGCUGGGUGGUUACAUGCUAGCACCUGACCCCUAGCUGGUGCUUUGGGGAUGAGCUUUUCUACCUGAGGGAAGUGACAGGAUGCUUCUGCUUCCCACGAGUAUGCUGCUGGGAAAGGAGCCCCUCCACUUUGCGGUUGCUCUGUGAGUACCUGUAGGCAUAGAAAGCCAAAAAAUGUGAAUUGAAGAAUUCUUGGUUGCCUGUCCCCCAUCUUUACCUCAGCCUUUAAGAUUCUGCUAAACUUCGCACUAUUUUUGCAACACUUUUAAUAAUCUACAGCAGGAUGUGUAAUGGCUUCCAUUGUCAUGGAGAUUGAACUUAGACUAUCAAGUAUUCUCAGGUGAGUUGAAUAGUUAACUCUUAUUGUGAUAAACAUUGGCUAUUUAUUUUUUUUGUCACUUAAGUGUAUUUAUAAUAGUUUCAAUAAUAAUAAUUGCCAUACAUUUUUUCUUUAUAACCAAAUCUGAAUUUUUUUUUCUCUCUCUUUUAUAUCAGUAAUCUAUUACUUUGAAUAACUUGUUCCGAUUAGUGCUUGACAGGUGGGUGUAAUCAUAUCAUAAGAAAACUGAUUAAUAAAAACAUCAGUAAGAAUAUUAAUAAUAGCCA